AGGUUGGUUGAUUUUUCAUUAUCUAACUAACGAGAGAGUUCAAGUAUAAUAUGGUUAGUAGACAUAAAAUUUAAAUGAAAAUCACAGCAGCAACAACAACUAUAACGAAAGAAUUCUAAUUUAUCAAAAUAAUGCAACAUUUAAAGACCUCCAGAGGCAAUAGUUAUUAGGAGCAACCUCAUUAUCUUUUAACAAAUGUUCUAAAUAAUGAUAAUGAUGUUGAGAGCAACAUCAUAAGCACAAAUUUCAUCACUUAAUAAGGCGUUUUUUUUUAUAAAAUCCCAAGCCUGAAUUUCUAAUGGGAAGUUGCGGAAUAAUUGGACUUUAAUAUAAACAUUAAAAAUGUUUACACUACGAAAACAAAUGGCAUGCGUUUCUGCAACAGCUAUAAAAUAAGAAAAUUAAAAACACGAAACAAAAUAUUCGGUUAUUUUAAUCUAAUUAAUAAAGCAAAUAUUUAGAUAAUGAAAAGCUAAAACAAAAAAAUACAAAAUUAACUAAAACAUUUAAACAAAGUACAUUAAGAGAGAAAAUAGUGUAGUUGUUUAUAAAAACUUCGCACCUCAUUACGAACAAAAAAAAAAAAAAA